AGACAUGAAAACAAAACACUCAACAUGAUUGUUUGAAAAGAGUAUUUUCAGUAACAUGCGACAAACCCCAAAUGCCAAUUCGGAAACAGUGGCUCCUGUAUUCCUUUUGUGGCUUCACAGGAACAGUUUUCCAUCACCCAGAGUGAAAGGUUUGACACCAUCUACAAGGAAGGGAUGAAAGGUUUCCCUUUGGAGUUCCUUUGGGAUCUAUGAACUGUGAAUUGUAGCAGGCCUACUGUUGAUAAAUAACUAAGAACUUGCAAUGUACAUGGUCAGCUAUAUCCACGAGCGCUCUAACUGAAAAGUUUAUUUGGGUCAACAACAAAAAGCUACAGAAAAUAUCCUUGAAUUCUUAGAAACAGAUUAUUUAUUUCCUAUAUAAAAACUCAGAGUGAAACAAAUUGAUUAGCUAGAGCACUGAGCGAAUCUUCUAUUUCUGUACUAAUUAGAGACAUGUGCUGUGUAAACCUAUUAUGUAUCUUAGCAAAUACCAGAGACAUAAUGAUAACACAUUAUGUUUCCAUUACUCAUGCUACUUUGUAUGCUAAUUAUGCCCUUCUUUCUUUCUAGCAACAUUGUAUACUACAUCAAAUGGGAAAGCAGUAUCUUCAGUUUUCUGGUACAGUUUGUGCCAAUGCCACAUUCAGUGUUUGUUCUGUUUAUUUCUCUUAGUGUUUGCUAGGAUUUCUGUUAUAGAAUGGUAUCAGUCUAGUGUCAAAUCUAUCAUAGUUCAUCAUGAUUGCAAAAGUGACAAUAGUUUACCAUAUCACAGCUUUCAGCUGGUAUGCCUUUGUCUUUAUUAAGUUCAUGGUUGCUUAGGAUCGGGAGAAGUUACCUGGGAUGUUUCAGUAUGAUGGAACCUGGAACUACCUUACUUUCCUCAACCUGGUGAGUUUACUUGGAAGUCACUCCUCAGUAAAAGGCACAUAACAGCCCACUUGGAGUUUGCCAAAAGGCACCUAAAGGACUCUCAGACCAUGAGAAACAAGAUUCUCUGGUCUGAUGAAACCAAGAUUGAACUCUUUGGCCUAAAUGCCAAGCGUCACGUCUGGAGGAAACCAGUCACUUCUCAUCAGCUGGGCAAUACCAUCCCCACGGUGAAGCAUGGUGGUGGCAGCAUCAUGCUGUGGGGAUGUUUUUCAGCGGCAGAGACUGGGAGACUACACUCUAUGGUGUAUUGUGUGUAGAAAUUAUGAGGGGGAAAAAACUAUUUAAUCCAGAUUAGAAUAAGGCUGUAACAUAACAAAAGGUUUAGAGGUCUGAACACUUUCCGAAUGUACUGUAGGAUGAUGUCAUCCUAUUGAAGAGGAUGAGCUGGCCAGUCACCGGUCUACUUGCGUGAAUUAUAUAUGCCCACACCAUUCUGUUUUUGGGGUAUUUCCUCACCAUUCCAACACAGAAACGCUGCUUUUUAACAUACUUAAUUUCCAUGUUUUGGAAGGAAAACUAUUUCACUCAUAUUGUAAUUAAUUAUAGGUAAUAUUUCAUAGAAAUCUGGAAACACUGGACAGUUACUUUAACUGCGCAGGGUUUAAUAUAUCCAGUAUAGAGGUUCAACCCUGUCAACCUAGUCAGAAUAUACAGUUGAAGUCAGAAGUUCACAUACACCUUAGCCAAGUACAUUUAAACUCAGUUUUUUACAAUGUCUGACAUUUAAUCAGAGUAACAAUUCCCUGUCUUAGGUCAGUUAGGAUCACCACUUUAUUUUAAGAAUGUGAAAUGUCUGAAUAAUACUCCUGACAGAGUUGAUGUAACUAAGUUAGGUUUGUAGGCCUCCUUGCUCGCACACUUUUUCAGUUCUGCCCACACAUUUUCUAUGGGAUUGAGGUCAGGGCUUUGUGAUGGCCACUCCAAUACCUUUACUUUGUUGUCCUUAAGCCAUUUUGCCACAACCUUGGAAGUAUGCUUGGGGUCAUUGUCCAUUUGGAAGACCCAUUUGCGACCAAGCUUUAACUUCCUGACUUAUGUCUUGAGAUGUUGCUUCAAUAUAUCCACAUGAUUUUCCUGCCUCAUGUAGCCAUCGAUUUUGUGAAUUCCCUCCUGCAGCAAAGCACCCCGACACCAUGAUGCUGCCACCCCCGUGCUUCACGGUUGGGAUGUAUUUCUUCGGUUUGCAAGCCUCCCCCUUUUUUCCUCCAAACAUAACGAUGGUCAUUAUGGCUAAACAGUUCUAUUUUUGUUUCAUCAGACCAUAGGACAUUUAUCCAAAAAGUACAAUCUUUGUUCCCAUGUGCAGUUGCAAACCGUAGUCUGGCUUUUUUUAAUGGCGGUUUUGGAGCAGUGUCUUCUUUCCUUGCUGAGCGGCCUUUCAGGUUAUGUCGAUAUAGGACUCGCUUUACUGUGGAUAUAGAUACUUUUGUACCUGUUUCCUACAGCAUCUUCACAAGGUCAUUUGCUGUUGUUCUGGGAUUGAUUUGCACUUUUCGCACCAAAGUACGUUCAUCUCUAGGAAACAGAAUGCGUUUCCUUCCUGAGCGGUAUGAAGGCUGCGUGAUCCCAUAGUGUUUAUACUUGCAUACUAUUGUUUGUGCAGAUGAACAUGGUACCUUCAGGCGUUUGGAAAUUGCUCCCAAGGAUGAACCAGACUUGUGGAGGUCUACAAUUUGUUUUCUGAGGGCUUGGCUGAUUUCUUUUGAUUUUCCCAUGGUGUCAAGCAAAGAGGCAAUGAGUUUGAAGGUAGGCCUUGAAAUACAUCCACAGGUACACCUCCAAUUGGCUCAAAUGAUGUCAAUUAGCCUAUCAGAAGCUUCUAAAGCUAUGACAUAAUUUUCUGGAAUUUUCCAAGCUGUUUGAAGGCACAGUCAACUGAGUGUAUGUACAUUUCUGACCCACUGGAAUCGUGAUUCAGUGAAUUACAAGUGAAAUUAUCUGUCUGUAAACAAUUGUUGGAAAAAUGACUUGUGUCAUGCACAAAGUAAAUGUCCUAACCGACUUGACGAAACUAUAGUUUGUAAACAAGAAAUUUGUGGAGUGGUUGAAAAAGGAGUUUUAAUGACUCCAACCUAAGUGUAUGUAAACUUCUGACUUCAACUGUAUAUCCAAGGGCAUGUGAGGCUGUAUGAGUUUUGUUGUAUGAUUUACUGUAUGUGUAUAUUCAUGAUACAUGUAACAACCAAGAAACUUCUGUGUGCAAUAUUUAAGUUUUGCAGAUGGUGUUAUUUGGGAUGGUUGUGGUGACUGAUCUUUAGACGGGGAAAAACUUAACCAAGGGUCUUUACAAUUGGAAAUACCUAACCUUUUCUGUCCUCGCCUUCCCUGUAGGAAUGGUGAGAAGGCAUGAUUGAAAUAAUGUGAAAUAUUGUUACUUGAUAUACAGUACCACCAACGUGGAAUCUCCCUUAUCACAGGGAGAUGGUAUACAGUGUCUCAUUCUACUAGAUUUAUUGCCAUUUUUCUUUUUAAUUCUGUCUGUCAAAAUGUUCAUUUUGUGAUGCUGCUUUUCUGGAUGAUUUUUUCCUAUGACAGGUACCUUGUCUACCCAGGAUAGCUAAAUGCCUUCUUUCCUCUCUGAAUGGACCAUGCCAUGCACACCGUUGUUAUGCCUACCUUACUUGGGGAGAUAUUGCUUCAACGUCAUGUACCAAAAAAUGGCUUAGCUGCCUUAAUGACCCUACACACUGCAGUAAACUACGCAAACACAGCGACAGAGCGUAGAUUUCACACUUAGUUCUACAUACAUUGUGUGGCUCAAAUUAUACGAGGUCGCUCUGUUUGCGCGAAGUAUGUAGCGGCCUUUAGGAGUCUUGGCAUACUUGGUUUGGUAAGUAAGGUAAUUUAUUAAUCAGAUACAAAUGUAUGUAUGUGUUGUUGAUUUUAGCCUGGCUUGAAAAAAGAGGAGGCUGAGUGUUUCAAACUUGUGGAUUAGCCAACUGUGAUCUGCAGGUGUCUUGUCUUUUUUUCACAAAUUCAAGGCUGAAGGUGGCUGUGCAAUGACUGGGCCGUGAAUGGUGAAUGGGGUGAAAGCGAGCAGUUUGAGGACAGUGAGGAGAACCUCGUUAAAUAUGUCAGAACAUAGCAAUACGGAUGGUCCGGGAGUGGUCGUGGGAACCACAGUACUGUUAAAAGUGGCAACACAUCAUUCAGGGCAGCUCCAAAAUGCAGGUGUUUCAGCCUAGCUCAGUGCUUUCUGAGGUGGAGGGGCAGCCAGCGGAAAAUAAAGCGCGUAGAGGUUGGUCAUCUCUAGUUGUGCUGUGAUUGGCUCAGUGUUCUGUCAUUCAUGGGGACACUACGUCAUCGCAAAAUCUACAGGAAGAGCGAGAAAGUUCAAGCCCCUCA